GGGCUUCGCAGGCGGUUUCUUAAGUCUGAAUGUGAAAGCCCCCGGCUCAACCGGGGAGGGUCAUUGGAAACUGGGAAACUUGAGUGCAGAAGAGGAGAGUGGAAUUCCACGUGUAGCGGUGAAAUGCGUAGAGAUGUGGAGGAACACCAGUGGCGAAGGCGACUCUCUGGUCUGUAACUGACGCUGAGGAGCGAAAGCGUGGGGAGCGAACAGGAUUAGAUACCCUGGUAGUCCACGCCGUAAACGAUGAGUGCUAAGUGUUAGGGGGUUUCCGCCCCUUAGUGCUGCAGCUAACGCAUUAAGCACUCCGCCUGGGGAGUACGGUCGCAAGACUGAAACUCAAAGGAAUUGACGGGGGCCCGCACAAGCGGUGGAGCAUGUGGUUUAAUUCGAAGCAACGCGAAGAACCUUACCAGGUCUUGACAUCCUCUGACAACCCUAGAGAUAGGGCUUUCCCUUCGGGGACAGAGUGACAGGUGGUGCAUGGUUGUCGUCAGCUCGUGUCGUGAGAUGUUGGGUUAAGUCCCGCAACGAGCGCAACCCUUGAUCUUAGUUGCCAGCAUUCAGUUGGGCACUCUAAGGUGACUGCCGGUGACAAACCGGAGGAAGGUGGGGAUGACGUCAAAUCAUCAUGCCCCUUAUGACCUGGGCUACACACGUGCUACAAUGGACAGAACAAAGGGCUGCGAGACAGCAAGGUUUAGCCAAUCCCACAAAUCUGUUCUCAGUUCGGAUCGCAGUCUGCAACUCGACUGCGUGAAGCUGGAAUCGCUAGUAAU
rnacentral:rRNA from 1 species